GACGAACGCUGGCGGCGUGCUUAACACAUGCAAGUCGAACGGAAAGGCCCUGCUUUUGUGGGGUGCUCGAGUGGCGAACGGGUGAGUAACACGUGAGUAACCUGCCCUUGACUUUGGGAUAACUUCAGGAAACUGGGGCUAAUCCCGGAUAGGAGCUCCUGCUGCAUGGUGGGGGUUGGAACGUUUCGGCGGUUGGGGAUGGACUCGCGGCUUAUCAGCUUGUUGGUGGGGUAGUGGCUUACCAAGGCUUUGACGGGUAGCCGGCCUGAGAGGGUGACCGGCCACAUUGGGACUGAGAGACGGCCCAGACUGCGACGGGAGGCAGCAGUGGGGAAUAUUGCACAAUGGGCGGAAGCCGGAUGCAGCAACGCCGCGUGCGGGAUGACGGCCUUCGGGUUGUAAACCGCUGUCGCCUGUGACGAAGCGGGAGUGACGGUAAUGGGUAAAGAAGCACCGGCUAACUACGUG
rnacentral:rRNA from 1 species